GUACACAGGUCUUUUGAAAUUAUACAAAUAUUGUUUCUCCUCUUUUAAUUUCAAAAGAUGUAAUGUACGUAAUAAUUAGGCGGGAUGACGUGACUGUGCACACACGCACGGGGCGCGUCUGGGUGCAGGGAUUCCUCGACAGCAAACUCGAGUGGAGUCCUCCCCCUCUUCCUUGUGGACUAUCUGCCCUCGGAACAUACCGGGGAGCGCCGGUGCUGGAGUUGAGCUGAAGGAGU